rnacentral:tRNA from 1 species
UUGUCGGUGGUGCAAAUGGGUUAACAUGCUUGACUGCUAACCAAAAGGCUGAAGGUUUGAGUCCUCCCAGACAUG